CGCUGCCCUCAGGCGGCCCCGCCGCCCCCCCGGUGGGUGCUGAAGGUGUUUAAGGUUGAUCUGUAGCGACCGACGGCAUUCGGGGGCCGGGGCGUCCCUUGGAAGUGGCGGUCGCUGCCGCUUCCGUGUGCAGAUGGAAGAAACAACAGUACUGUGACCAUCAUGCAGGAACACCCUCAACUGUUCUGGUACCAGAAAAAAAGCCCACAAGUGAAGCUUCAGGAUUGAAAGGCACGUACCUUGUGACUGGCAACCCAAAGAAUCAGUAUUCUCUGUGCCUAAGGAUGGCAGCCCAGCUUCCAGUUACACCAAAAGUGGGACUAAAGCAGUUUUCACUGAAGGCACGGGAGCCGCCAGGAGGGGGCCGUGGCAGCCAAAUCCCUCACGCUCAGCAUUAGCAAAGUGCUCUUUCCCAAGCCAAAGGACACGAGCAAGCCCUGUACCCAUACAGCCGCUGGUGAGUUUCUUACAUUCUGAUGAGUUUUGUCUCCCGCGGGACCUUCCAGACCGUCACUAGGAGGUGAACGCUCUCGUUCUCGUUGAGGAGCAGAGCGUCUCCCUUGGCCUUGCUCCUGGCGAAAGCCAGGAGAGCCUCCACCGCCUUCUUCACCUGCAACGGCACCAGCCGUGGUUAAACCCCAGCCCGGCCCCGCUCCAGGUGCUCCCCCCCGGCUCCCCGCGGUACCUGGGCGCUCUCCAGGUGCUCCCCCCCGGCUCCCCGCGGUACCUGGGCGCUCUCCAGCCGCUCUCUCCGUCCCGCCAUGGUCCCGCCGGUGCCACGUGCGGCCGCGGCGCCUGCGCGGGCUCCUCUUUCCGGGUCACGGCGGGGCCCGGCCGGGAAGGGGCGGUGCGGGGGGGCGGGUCCCGCGGCUCCUGCUGGUCCGGGUCCGGGGGUGUUCUCCGGGAGCAGCGUUCCCGUCCUCGGAGGCAGCUUUAUCCCAGAAAGGUGACGGGCUAAUCGAGUUUGGAGCAGAGCUCCGGAGGCCGUCAGUGCGUCCCGCUCCGGCAGCAGCGCCAGCCGGAGGUCAGGCGGGGAUGCUCAGGGCUGUGUCCAGCCCGGGCUUCCCAGCUCCAGGGAUGGAGGCUGUGCCAAUGCCCGAGUGUCCCAGUGCUCCAUUUGUUACUGGCCUUCGGGUAGAGGACAAGCCAUUAUCUCUAUCCUCAGAUUUUUAUUGUCCAAAGAAUUGUUACCCAUGUCUUUAGAUUCCUUCUUUGAAGCCUAUCCCUGAUUUUAUCUCCUGUAUUACUGUCCUUUUGCACUGGAGUGCUGUUGUAAGUUCCCUGUUUUCCUGAGUAUCAGGAGGAACCGUUUUUAUGAUUGGAGAAGGAUGUCCUUAAAGAACUGCUGCCAGCUCCCCUGAGCAACUUUCAGAGCUGCCUCCCAUGGGAUCUUGCCUGCUGGUUCUCUGAAUAAACUCAUGUAUGUCUCAUGGAGUCCAGGGCCUGCCUUCUGCUCCUCAUCUUCCUCACACUCUGUGUCUUGAACUCUGCUAUUUCCAGGUCACUGCCAUUGAGGCAGCCACUGAUUAUCACAUGCUAAACCAUUUCUUCCUCAUGUGUGACUAAUAAAGGCACAACUGCUGCGUCUGCUGUUCAGUUUGGGAAUGCACUGACUGACUACAUGGAAGUAGCUUAAUUUUAGGAUGGUUAUCCCAUUGAGUUCCAUGCUGGAUAAAUACAUUGUUCUGAGAUAAAAUCUGGCCUGGAAUUAUUUUGCCCUCAUUCCCACAGUGCUGUGUGUGCCUUGGCAGCUUUGCCUUGUCUGCAUUCAUCACACAGGUAAGCUGCUACCUGGGUAACACAGCUGUGCAUCACCAGGGUUUAAAUAUGCAUGUAAUUAGGAGUCUGAGUCAUUCACUCAUCUCUAGAUCUUUUCUUGCCCUUUGCCUUUCUAUUUAUGGUUUUAUUCUUUCUCAUCAGAUGUCUUCCAACAAAAUUUGUUGCUCCAUCGGUGUGCAAAGAGUGAGUACAAAGAGAAAGAAACUAAAAUACCCUCGUCUCAUGACAAACUGUUUCACGUAGUGGUUUAUAUUUUCAUUCUACUGUUAGUGUUUUUUAGAGCAACAGUGGAAUAGUUGAUGGCUUCAAGACAUAUCCAGACUUCUGAAAGAACUAUAUGGACAUAAACUGAUUUUAAAGAGUGGGGAAAAAAAAAUCCUCUUGUGAUAUUUGAACAAAAUAAACCAAACUGGCUAAGAAAAAGAAAAGCUAUCCUUUGCUGCCAUGUUGUUUGAAGUAUUGAUUAAAGAAAUUACUGAAGGUGAGGAACAGGCAGGGUAGCCAAAGAGGGCAGACUCAUUAAAAUCUUUUCAGUACUGGUAGAAUUUAGGCAUGUGGUGUUGUAUAUUCUGAUAACUGUAUUAGCCAUACUUCCUCUUUGCAUAUUUUAGAGCAGCCCUAUUUUAAUAAAACAUCAACAUACUAGUGUGACAUGUUAAAACAAAAUAGAAAAAGUCAGAUGACUGGAACAUCUCUCUGAAAAUAAGCCAGCCUAGUCUUGCAAGAUACGAUUGAACAGCAUGUUUGAAGCCCAACUGUACUGGGUCAGUAUAGCAUUAAUAGGAUAAAACUAAAGGGACUAUUAUUAGUAACUCAAAUUCAAAUUUUUCACGUCAGUCUCAUCCAAGUUCAUUUUUCUGAACAAUUUUAGGUCUGACAUGACUGAAUUUUACUAGAUGUGAUUUAACUGCUUUAGUAUAAUCAUUUUCUCUGGAAGGGUACUUGACAUAGCUAACAGACCUGUCUUGGAAAAAUUAAAUUAAUCUCUGGAUAAGAAAUAUUUCAGCUUAAUACAGCAUGCAAUGAAUAUAAACUAUAAGAGAGCGCACUUUUAAUUUAGCAAGUUCAUCAGUUUACAGUUACUCCUACAAGGAAAUUAGGUUUGAUGCUCUGAUCAGUGUUAUUGCUGUACAUUAUCCUGCUGUAGCUCUCAAUUUAACUUUUUGGACUAUGGAAGUAUGUAUAUUUCUUUAAGCCAUUUGUGCCACUUACUUAAAUGCUAAGAUUUAAAAUAAUUGCAAGCCAGUCUACCUCAUUACUUAUAUGUUUCUCUACAUGCCUGAUUUUAUACUUUCUCACAGCAAAAGGGAAGUACAAGUAGCAAUUGUUUCUGCUGUAAACAGAUCUUUGAGGUUUAAUAUUAUUCCAGUUCCAGGCUUAUGUUCCUCCAGAAUUUUUGAUGGCAGAUGUCAAAAUCCCAGGUCUCUGUUAAGUGUACCUCUUGCAACAAAACUACCACAAAGACUAUGCAGAGAGUAAAACAGGAGUAAGGAGUCCUUCAUAUGAGAGCCCAGAAGAGAAUCUCCCCCCUUCAUCCAGAGUUCAAGCACGGGUUUUCUUUGGGUGGUGUUCCUUUGCAGUCCCAGGAUCACCUCCAGCUGUAACCUGGCUGUCAGACACAGGGGUGCUUGUGGUGUGUUUCAGAACAGAGGCUCCUGUCACUGUGACAUGAGCUGCAAAGCUUUCCUCUUACAAUGCUUUGCCUAUCACCACUUCUAGAGGCUUAACAGGUGACAGGGACAUUGCCUCAAAUACCUUUUUGCCAUCCAACACUUCAUCUAUUAACUCUCUUAUUAUUACUUUUGUUCAGAAGGACGUGGAUUUUUCAGGGGUAUGUAACUGAGGUGAGAUGUAGAAAAAUCCAAUUUAUGUUGGAAGUUGAUACUUCUUAGGAAGGAAAGCCAAUGAAAGGAUAUGUUUUAUCAAAAGGUAUAUAUACACAGACAACAGGUUUUGGGUUUGUUAGCAUAAAUUUCCACUUUAUAUUAAGACUAGAAUCCUUUCUAGUAUUUCUUCAGAGGAAAAGUAGUAUCUUGUCAGGUUUAUAGUGCUUUAAAAUAAACACAAGGAAAGAAACAAGUUCACAAUAUAAAAUCUUCAGUAGUAACUCCAGUUUUGUUGGUAUAUUUUUCUGUAGCAAAUCCUCUGUAGGGUAUACAAAAACAGCAGAAUAAGUGAGAGCCUUUAAGUACCAGUUCAGGAAGAAAACAGUCUUGUCUGGAGUACAUUUCAUCUGCUUUAUCAACAUAAUUUAAACAGUCUGAGUUAAGAACCAAAAAGCCAGAGUAAUACAGAAUCAAAUACUUGGGACAUUGAAACAAUAUUUUUUUCCUUAGGUAAUAUUCAUUAAUAAACACUUAUAAAAACACAUUUCUCAUAAUGAACAUGAUUUUUAAUAUAUGGAGUGGUGCCAUAAGUAGUCUAAAACAGAGGUUGUUCACUGAGCACUUUUCCCUGGGCUUUUUAUGCCACUAAAAAAGAUCUGCAGAGGGGCAUUAAAGUCAUGAGCAGCAAAUAUCCCCAUGGAUAAACCUUAAAGCAGUCGUUUUUCUUACAACACUACUAUUACACCAUAGUCAAGAGCUUGCUCUUCAGGAACACAAUUUACUACCAGAGGAAGUGUCUCAGGAAUCCAGUGUCACCAUGUUUGUGGAUCAGUUCCUGAUUGUCUGCAAGAGAUGCCCAAGGAGGCUGGAAUGGUUUCAAGAAGACAGCUGAUGGCAAUGUCACCCAUUCCUCCAGUUAGUGUGUUUUACUUCUGGUCACUUGCAGAAACAAGUCAUUAUUUUCCUCUUGCCAAAUAAUUAGUACUGCUGCACAUUCAGAUUUUUUUGCUUUACAUUUAAUUUUUGUUACAUAUACCAAGGUUUUCAGUUCAAGGACUUACAAAGUCUUAAUUUAGAGAAUUAUAAUUUGUGUUUUUAUAAGUUACAUCGUGGCUAAACACUUAAGCCAUAUCUACACUACAAACUUUGGCCAACCAGCAGAGAGAAACAGGUGUGAUCCUCAUCACUACCACACUGCAAAUGCUGUUUUUCUGGGGAAAAUAACCCCCCAAAUCCCUCCUUUCUGCAGAAACACGCUCACAGUUUUGCUGGUAUGAGUUACAGCCAUGCCAGAACCCAGGAGUACUCUGCCAGUGUUAGAUGCAAGCACAGGUACCCUGGCAGUGCUCCUGGUGCUCCUGUAGCUUCAAUCCAACUUCUCUUUCCUUCCCCCCCCCUUCCUUUCAACUGUUGUGGUUGCACAGCUCCUUUAGUUUUAUCUUCAAAGCAGCAUACCACAUUUUCAAACAAGAAAGUAUUCAAAAUGGUCAUUUAAAAAAGUUUAUUACAUCAGUGAAUCAGCAAAUAGUAUUUAUUUCCAACAAAGCCACAUUAUCUUUUUUUUUCUUCUUUCAUCUAGAUUUAGCUUUACUUAAUAGUAGUAAAAAUGGGACUAUAAAAUGUAGAAUGGAGAUGAAAUGAAAAAGUUGAGAUGUGAUCUGAGGACUAUUCAAACACAAUGUUCUUUCAGCUCUUCUACCCAAAAUGCAGCCAAUUUGUGCAGAUUUAUGCCUUACAUUUUCAUAUCAGUGUAUUUGCUAUAGAAUGCAAAUAUUUUACACCCAAAUAAAAACUUCCUACAGGAUAGCAAUAUCUUUAAUUGCAUAAUGUGGAUUCUGUUAACAGACAAGGUGACAUUAACUGGAUUUAUGGAAAUGUAAUCAAAUGCACUAGAUGGGAUGAGUAAUGGAAAUACUCAGACUCUCUAUCUACUGAUAUUCCAACCCACCAGAUGACUAUUCAGUUUAAUAAUAAAUACUCAGUCCAGCCUCAUAAUAAUGAGGUUUUAGAAUCCCCCAUUAAGUUUGUUCAAAAGUGGAAAAAUUCUGCUGGAGCAUCAUGUAGCCUUCAGAUGCAUUUCAAUGCCUUAAAAAAAAAAAAAAGAUUUAAAAGAUCUAACAAUUUAGGAAUCUAACUCUUAUCUAAUAAUGGUCUUUGCAAAUUUCAAAUCCAUGAGCUUGCUUCAAGAAAGCAGUUAGAUAUCUGGAAAUCUUAAGUCAGUCCAGAAUAUGAACAAGACUAAUUUUCCUUGGCUUUUAAUUUCUUCAUUAGUUUAAGAUCCAAGGAACUGUGGGUUUUGUUCACUUGGUAGGAAAAAAAAAAGUUGCUUUUAAACCCUGCUUUACAAAAAAAAAUAAAAGCCCAGAGAUUUGCAGACAUAAUAAAAUUUAUUUAAAUUCCAUGCAUUACGGUAGCUACAAGUGUAGUCAUAUGAAACGGAAGGACAAUAACUUCUUCUGUCCAUACAAUGUAGCUGUAAGUGAAAUGAAUGGGAGUUCCACAGUUACAAAGAAACAAACAAAACCAAAAAAAAAGACCAAAAAAAAAACCAAAAAAAAAAAAAAAGACCAAAAAAAGGUAAAUCUCUUUCAAUUUUGAGUUAUCUGUGAAUUCAGACACAGUCACUAGACUGUAAACUUUUGGGGGAGAAGAUGGGCUCACCACAAUUGUACAACUGAAAAUGUUUAGUUUAAGACAGUCUGAAGAAGCUCUGAAGAUACCUUUUAAUAAUUACUACUAAUACUCUGGGAAAUGAAAAAAAUCCCUUAGCCUUCAUCCUAAUUGUUAGAAUCAGGACAGCAAUUGCAGACAGUCCACUUCCAAAGUGCAGCUAAAUAGGGUUUUAUUAUGCAGCUCCUUCAAGUUGUACUGAGUAAGCUUUACUUUGAACCAGUUUUGCUUUAAUUCUUCAAGAAAAACUUCACUGGUCCUCAUCAGCUUACAUUGCUUUUGAUAUGCAAAAAUUUACAGACUGUGCUUGAUUCUGACCCUCCCAUAUUUCGGUAUGUGCAAAUUCUUAGGGAUUUAAAUAGUCUGUCUCCCUCUCAGUUCAGACUGAUCUUUAAAACAGCAAGGAUUAUCCAGCCCUCUAAAUUAAAGACAGGGUGAACUGAGUAAUUUAUAUAACUGGCACUUUUUAAUUGGCCCAGUUCUCCCACAAAAUGCAGCUCUUAUAAAUACUAAUAGGCACUAUUGCCACAGAUUCUCUUAUUUUUGCAACUUUCACUGAUUUACUGGUUGUUAGCAUUUUCUGCAGUUAAGAAUUUAACAAUGCUGAAUUUUAUAAAGACACAAUACGUACUUCUAGCCUUCAAAAUUGACUUACUGUGUCUAGUAAUGAUGUUAAGUCAACCUAAAUUUGCUGAAGUUAUUAACAAAUGUAAAGCUAAUGAAGGUGCCACAUUUGCAUGAAUGUUUUUUUUUAAUUUUCAGAAUGCAUUUGACAAAGGGAAGGGGCAAACCUAAUUGUUUUAAUACAAACUUGGUUGAGUGCCCAAUUGCCUCAUUUAAAACUGUGUGUGUGGGGAGGCUGAGGAGUUUAGAAAAGUCCAAGUAACCAAAUAUCUGGGUUACUGGAGAGUUAAAAAGCUAAAUGCAACUGCGUUACAUCUGGAUAAAAAACAUUAUUCAAAAGCAAUUCGAAUACCGAAAAAGAUUUCAAAUUGAAUAGUUUAUUAACAUGGUAGUCAUCUUUGUAACAUGUGCACACACACUCGCACACUCUGAAUGA